rnacentral:lncRNA from 1 species
GGGCUCCCUGAGGGAGGCCAGCACAAGAGCUCUGCCAUAAAAGGACAUUGGACAGAAGUGAAGAGUCCAAUCAGAAACUCUUUUUGAGAGACUGAACGCAAAGCAUUCAGAGAGUCAGCAGGCUGGAGAGGCCAAGACACACACACGAAGAAGGCAUAACAGGAGCAGAAACAGAAGCCAAGAGAGGGUAGAGAAUUAGUCCUAGCGAAGAAAAAAUGAGUGCAGAUAAGCAGAAUGGAAGACCGGAAUCAGGAGCACAGCCAGCUGCUAGAGUGCCCUGUCAUCUCCUCAAAUGUUGCUCUUAUUCACUGAAGCAAGCUGACUCCCCAAUACCAUGUACAUACUGAACCCAGAAGAGGGGAGAAAAGAAGGAAGGAUUGUGCAUAGGAGUUCCUUUUGAAGAAGUGACAUGGAGGUUAGACACAUCACUUCUGCUCACAUUUCCCUGAUGAGAAUUUAGUCACAUGGCCAUGCCUGGCCACAAGGAAGGUUGGAAAAUUUAGUCUCUAAAAUUAGAGCAAUUAUUUCCCCUUUUCCUUUUAGGAACAGAGCCUCCUGUUUUCACCAAACCUAACAAUGAUCAGCCACACUGACUCUGAUUGAGUUAAGUAGAAAAGAAGUUUAUUAAAAGAUGACCAAGGAGCUCACAGAAACACCAGGAAAUUUUGAGAAGGUUCAGAAAACAGGUAGAAGAAGAGAGACUCUAGGUAUCUAGAACCCAAGUACAAAUCAUGCCACAAGAACAUGAGCAAUGGGCACUGCUGCUAAUAGCACUAGACACUGGACAUCAGAGCUUGCACUUGCCACCAGCAGAGGAAACCAGUGAAUGUUACUUUAUAGGGCAAAGGGGACUUUGCACAUGUAAUCUUGGAAGAGUAUCCCGGAUUACUUAGGGCUCAGUGUAACCACAAGGGUCCUUAUAAGAGGGAUGCAGGCGAUCAGAGGGAGAAGUAGGAGAGGUGAUGACCGAAGCAGAGAUUGAAGUGAUGCAGCCACAGGCCAAGGAAUUCUGGCAGUCACUAGAAGCUGAAAAGGGCAGGCCCCAGCUCUCCUGAAGCUCUCAGAGGAAGCAAUCCUGUCAGUUCCUUGAUUUUAGCACUAAUGUCAGACUUCUGACCUCCAGAAUUGUAAGAUAAUAAAUUUGUGUUCCUCACCACAAUCAAGCUAAUUAACAUUUCCAUCACCUCAC